GGCGCAGCCCGGCCCCGCCCGCGGCGCUGCGCCCUGCGCCGGGCCUGGCACCGGGCGAGCGGCCGAACACGCAGCCGCCCGGAUUAGCAGCAUUAGCAGCCAGCGCCGAGCAACAAUUAAUCAUUUGCUGUUUCCCUCACUUCAUCAUGGACUUAGGCCACUGUGUUUUCCCAAAUGAGCAGGUGGGCUGUGGUGAAUAUGCAGACUCGGACAUACUUGACUCUGAGGGAGCUUUGAAGAGCAGAGCUAACAUCCUGGCUUGGCAGACAAUGCAACCUGAGAAUCAGCACAACGUCUAGAACACAACAGUGAACUGCUCGUAUUGACUCAAGGAUGGAUCCUGAGAAUGUGUCCACCUUUAAUCCCAGGAUUAUUGGUCCCUGGAUGGUGUGAUCUUCAACAGAAAUUAGGCAGCAUUUUCUCUCUCUCAGCAGUGUCAGACCCUGGAUGCUGUAAUAUAAUGGGGUUUAUAUUCCUUCAAUGUAGUUCAUCUAUGGAUAGGGUAAUAAAAUAAAGUUUAUAGA